AUGGAGAUCAAGGGGCUGGGCCAGCUCCUGGCGGCGCUGGCCGCCGCGCUCUUCCUGCGGGUCGUCGCCGCGGGGGCCGGCCCCGCCCUCCUCCCGCCCGCGGAGGAGGAGGAGGAGGACGCGGAGGCCGGCGAGGGGGGAGGCGGCGGCGGGGUGCGCCCGGUGGCCAUCCGGUGGGCCCGCAUCACCUGCGCCCUCAAGAACAAGCGCGGGGACAUGGCAAGGUUCUUGCUGUCGAAUCUGUCCGGGGAGGCGAAACCGGGGAGGUUGCUAGCGCUCAUGGGGCCGUCAGGGUCCGGCAAGACGACGCUGCUCAAUGUGCUGGCAGGGCAGCUCGCGGCGUCGCCUUCCUUGCACCUCUCGGGCUUUCUCUAUGUCAAUGGCCAGCCUAUGUCGCAGGGCGGUUAUAAGAUCGCUUAUGUGAGGCAAGAAGACAUUUUCUUCUCACAGCUCACGGUGCGGGAAACACUCUCCCUUGCCGCUGAACUCCAGCUUCCCGACACCAUGUCUCCUGAGAGGAAGGAGAAGUAUGUUAAUGAUCUCUUGUUUCGCCUUGGAUUGGUCAACUCUGCCGAUUCUAUUGUGGGUGAUGCAAAAGUACGCGGAAUUAGUGGUGGUGAAAAGAAGCGCCUCUCGCUUGCAUGUGAACUGAUUGCAAGUCCUUCAGUCAUCUUUGCGGAUGAACCAACAACAGGCCUUGAUGCAUUCCAGGCAGAGAAGGUGAUGGAGACCCUUAGACAACUUGCAGAAGAUGGACACACUGUGAUAUGCUCUAUACACCAGCCGAGGGGUUCAGUCUAUAGCAAAUUUGAUGACAUUGUGCUACUGUCAGAGGGAGAAGUUGUAUAUAUGGGGCCUGCAAAAGAGGAACCUCUUAAAUACUUUGCAUCAUUAGGGUACCAGUGCCCAGAUCAUGAGAACCCUGCCGAGUUCUUGGCUGAUCUCAUUUCCACUGAUUAUAGCUCAGCCGAAAGUGUACAGUCAUCACAGAAAAGGAUUGAGAACCUAAUUGAUGAAUUUACAAAUAAGGUUCUGAUUACUGAAUUUAACAGUCCAGUAACACAAUCAGAGGGCUCUGAAUUUUCUACCAAACUUGCUCAGAAGUCUACUAGAAAGCAAAGACGUGGUUGGUGGAGACAAUUUCGUUUGCUGUUCAAGAGAGCAUGGAUGCAGGCUUUUCGUGAUGGACCAACAAACAAAGUGAGAGCAAGAAUGUCUGUUGCUUCAGCAAUUAUAUUUGGAUCAGUGUUCUGGCGAAUGGGGAAAACUCAAACUUCCAUACAGGAUAGGAUGGGACUUCUUCAGGUGGCUGCCAUAAACACAGCAAUGGCUGCUCUGACAAAGACGGUGGGAGUUUUUCCAAAAGAACGUGCUAUAGUUGACAGGGAACGAGCAAAAGGUUCGUAUGCACUAGGACCAUAUCUCUCAUCUAAGCUGCUGGCCGAGAUUCCUAUUGGAGCAGCAUUUCCGUUGAUAUUUGGAUCCAUCCUCUAUCCAAUGGCUAAACUUCAUCCAACAAUUUCUAGAUUUGCCAAGUUCUGUGGCAUCGUGACUGUUGAAUCGUUUGCGGCAUCAGCCAUGGGUCUUACAGUGGGAGCAAUCGCUCCUACAACCGAGGCUGCGAUGGCUCUUGGGCCAUCCCUUAUGACGGUGUUCAUCGUCUUUGGAGGAUACUAUGUGAACCCUGAUAACACCCCCGUCAUCUUCCGCUGGAUCCCAAAAGCAUCUCUGAUCAGAUGGGCUUUUCAAGGACUUUGCAUUAAUGAGUUCAAGGGUCUGCAGUUUGAGCACCAACAUUCUUACGAUGUUCAAACUGGAGAACAGGCCCUGGAGAGAUUUUCGCUGGGAGGAAUCCGCAUCGCCGACACGCUGGCUGCGCAGGGCAGGAUCCUGAUGUUCUGGUACUGGCUGACCUACCUCCUCCUGAAGAAAAACAAACCGAGGUACCAGCAGCUCCUGCCGCCCUCCGAGGAAGAUCAAAGUAAGCAGCAGACGGAGUAG
rnacentral:rRNA from 1 species